GACGAACGCUGGCGGCGUGCUUAACACAUGCGAGUCGAACGGAAAGGCCCUGCUUUUGUGGGGUGCUCGAGUGGCGAACGGGUGAGUAACACGUGAGUAACCUGCCCUUGACUUUGGGAUAACUUCAGGAAACUGGGGCUAAUACCGGAUAGGAGCUCCUGCUGCAUGGUGGGGGUUGGAAAGUUUCGGCGGUUGGGGAUGGACUCGCGGCUUAUCAGCUUGUUGGUGGGGUAGUGGCUUACCAAGGCUUUGACGGGUAGCCGGCCUGAGAGGGUGACCGGCCACAUUGGGACUGAGAUACGGCCCAGACUCCUACGGGAGGCAGCAGUGGGGAAUAUUGCACAAUGGGCGGAAGCCUGAUGCAGCAACGCCGCGUGCGGGAUGACGGCCUUCGGGUUGUAAACCGCUUCCGCCUGUGACGAAGCGUGAGUGACGGUAAUGGGUAAAGAAGCACCGGCUAACUACGUG
rnacentral:rRNA from 1 species